rnacentral:rRNA from 1 species
UACGGAGGGUGCAAGCGUUGUCCGGAUUUAUUGGGUUUAAAGGGUGCGUAGGCGGCCCGUUAAGUCCGUGGUGAAAUCCCAGGGCUCAACCCUGGAACUGCCAUGGAUACUGGCGGGCUUGAGUUCGGUCGAGGCGGGCGGAACUGGUGGUGUAGCGGUGAAAUGCAUAGAUACCACCAAGAACCCCGAUUGCGUAGGCAGCUCGCUAGGCCGAAACUGACGCUGAGGCACGAAAGCGUGGGGAGCGAACAGG